rnacentral:rRNA from 1 species
AUUGAACGCUGGCGGCAUGCCUUACACAUGCAAGUCGAACGGCAGCGGACCUUCGGGUGCCGGCGAGUGGCGAACGGGUGAGUAAUAUAUCGGAACGUACCUUUCAGUGGGGGAUAACGUAGCGAAAGUUACGCUAAUACCGCAUAUUCUGUGAGCAGGAAAGCAGGGGGAUCGCAAGACCUUGCGCUGAUUGAGCGGCCGAUAUCAGAUUAGCUAGUUGGUGAGGUAAAGGCUCACCAAGGCGACGAUCUGUAGCGGGUCUGAGAGGAUGAUCCGCCACACUGGAACUGAGACACGGUCCAGACUCCUACGGGAGGCAGCAGUGGGGGAAUUUUGGACAAUGGGCGCAAGCCUGAUCCAGCCAUGCCGCGUGAGUGAAGAAGGCCUCGGUUGUAACUGCUUUGUACGGACGAAACGGCUCUUCUAAUAAGGGAGCUAAUGACGGUACCGUAAGAAUAAGCACCGGCUAACUACGCGCCAG